rnacentral:rRNA from 1 species
UACAGAGGUCUCAAGCGUUGUUCGGAUUCAUUGGGCGUAAAGGGUGCGUAGGUGGCGUGGUAAGUCGGGUGUGAAAUUUCGGAGCUUAACUCCGAAACUGCAUUCGAUACUGCUGUGCUUGAGGACUGGAGAGGAGACUGGAAUUUACGGUGUAGCAGUGAAAUGCGUAGAGAUCGUAAGGAAGGCCAGUGGCGAAGGCGGGUCUCUGGACAGUUCCUGACACUGAGGCACGAAGGCCAGGGGAGCAAACGGG